UACGGAGGGAGCUAGCGUUGUUCGGAAUUACUGGGCGUAAAGCGCACGUAGGCGGCUUUUUAAGUCAGGGGUGAAAUCCCGGGGCUCAACCCCGGAACUGCCCUUGAUACUGGAAAGCUAGAAUCUUGGAGAGGCGAGUGGAAUUCCGAGUGUAGAGGUGAAAUUCGUAGAUAUUCGGAAGAACACCAGUGGCGAAGGCGACUCGCUGGACAAGUAUUGACGCUGAGGUGCGAAAGCGUGGGGAGCAAACAGG
rnacentral:rRNA from 1 species